GGGAUAACAUUCUGAAAAGAAUGCUAAUACCGCAUGACAUAUCGGAACCACAUGGUUUUGAUAUCAAAGAUUUUAUCGCUUGAAGAUGGACUCGCGUCCGAUUAGUUAGUUGGUGAGGUAACGGCUCACCAAGACCGCGAUCGGUAGCCGGACUGAGAGGUUGAACGGCCACAUUGGGACUGAGACACGGCCCAGACUCCUACGGGAGGCAGCAGUGGGGGAUAUUGCGCAAUGGGGGCAACCCUGACGCAGCAACGCCGCGUGAAGGAUGAAGGUUUUCGGAUUGUAAACUUCUUUUAUUAAGGACGAAAAAUGACGGUACUUAAUGAAUAAGCUCCGGCUAACUACGUGCCAGCAGCCGCGGUAAUACGUAGGGAGCAAGCGUUGUCCGGAUUUACUGGGUGUAAAGGGUGCGUAGGCGGCUUUGCAAGUCAGAUGUGAAAUCUAUGGGCUCAACCCAUAAACUGCAUUUGAAACUGUAGAGCUUGAGUGAAGUAGAGGCAGGCGGAAUUCCCCGUGUAGCGGUGAAAUGCGUAGAGAUGGGGAGGAACACCAGUGGCGAAGGCGGCCUGCUGGGCUUUAACUGACGCUGAGGCACGAAAGCGUGGGUAGCAAACAGGAUUAGAUACCCUGGUAGUCCACGCUGUAAACGAUGAUUACUAGGUGUGGGGGGUCUGACCCCUUCCGUGCCGGAG
rnacentral:rRNA from 1 species